rnacentral:rRNA from 1 species
UCCCAGACUCCUACGGGAGGCAGCAGUGGGGAAUAUUGCACAAUGGGGGAAACCCUGAUGCAGCGACGCCGCGUGAGUGAAGAAGCGUUUCGGCGCGUAAAGCUCUGUCAGCGGGGAAGAAACACGGUUCGCGAGAGCCGCGGACGGUACCCGACCAAGAAGCCCCGGCUAACUACGUGCCAGCAGCCGCGGUAAUACGUAGGUGGCGAGCGUUGUCCGGAAUUACUGGGUGUAAAGGGAGUGUAGGCGGGAAAGCAAGUCAGAAGUGAAAACUAUGGGCUUAACCCAUAGCCUGCUUUUGAAACUGUUUUUCUUGAGUGAAGUGGAGGCAAGCGGAAUUCCUAGUGUAGCGGUGAAAUGCGUAGAUAUUAGGAGGAACACCAGUGGCGAAGGCGGCUUGCUGGGCUUUUACUGACGCUGAGGCCCGAAAGCGUGGGAGCAAACAGGAUUAGAUACCCCGGUAA